AUUGGUGCUUGCAUCAUGAUUUACAUUUGAGUGAGUGGCGAACUGGUGAGUAACACGUGGGAAACCUGCCCAGAAGCGGGGGAUAACACCUGGAAACAGAUGCUAAUACCGCAUAACAACUUGGACCGCAUGGUCCGAGUUUGAAAGAUGGCUUCGGCUAUCACUUUUGGAUGGUCCCGCGGCGUAUUAGCUAGAUGGUGGGGUAACGGCUCACCAUGGCAAUGAUACGUAGCCGACCUGAGAGGGUAAUCGGCCACAUUGGGACUGAGACACGGCCCAAACUCCUACGGGAGGCAGCAGUAGGGAAUCUUCCACAAUGGACGAAAGUCUGAUGGAGCAACGCCGCGUGAGUGAAGAAGGGUUUCGGCUCGUAAAACUCUGUUGUUAAAGAAGAACAUAUCUGAGAGUAACUGUUCAGGUAUUGACGGUAUUUAACCAGAAAGCCACGGCUAACUACGUGCCAGCAGCCGCGGUAAUACGUAGGUGGCAAGCGUUGUCCGGAUUUAUUGGGCGUAAAGCGAGCGCAGGCGGUUUUUUAAGUCUGAUGUGAAAGCCUUCGGCUCAACCGAAGAAGUGCAUCGGAAACUGGGAAACUUGAGUGCAGAAGAGGACAGUGGAACUCCAUGUGUAGCGGUGAAAUGCGUAGAUAUAUGGAAGAACACCAGUGGCGAAGGCGGCUGUCUGGUCUGUAACUGACGCUGAGGCUCGAAAGUAUGGGUAGCAAACAGGAUUAGAUACCCUGGUAGUCCAUACCGUAAACGAUGAAUGCUAAGUGUUGGAGGGUUUCCGCCCUUCAGUGCUGCAGCUAACGCAUUAAGCAUUCCGCCUGGGGAGUACGGCCGCAAGGCUGAAACUCAAAGGAAUUGACGGGGGCCCGCACAAGCGGUGGAGCAUGUGGUUUAAUUCGAAGCUACGCGAAGAACCUUACCAGGUCUUGACAUACUAUGCAAAUCUAAGAGAUUAGACGUUCCCUUCGGGGACAUGGAUACAGGUGGUGCAUGGUUGUCGUCAGCUCGUGUCGUGAGAUGUUGGGUUAAGUCCCGCAACGAGCGCAACCCUUAUUAUCAGUUGCCAGCAUUAAGUUGGGCACUCUGGUGAGACUGCCGGUGACAAACCGGAGGAAGGUGGGGAUGACGUCAAAUCAUCAUGCCCCUUAUGACCUGGGCUACACACGUGCUACAAUGGAUGGUACAACGAGUUGCGAACUCGCGAGAGUAAGCUAAUCUCUUAAAGCCAUUCUCAGUUCGGAUUGUAGGCUGCAACUCGCCUACAUGAAGUCGGAAUCGCUAGUAAUCGCGGAUCAGCAUGCCGCGGUGAAUACGUUCCCGGGCCUUGUACACACCGCCCGUCACACCAUGAGAGUUUGUAACACCCAAAGUCGGUG
rnacentral:rRNA from 2 species